rnacentral:rRNA from 1 species
AGCGAACGCUGGCGGCAUGCCUAACACAUGCAAGUCGCACGGGGGGGCUUCGGCCUCCCCGUCGCGGACGGGUGUAGCACGCGUAGGGGCCUCUCGCGGGGCGGGGGAAAACUGCGGGACACUGCGGCAUAUCCCGCAUGCCGCCGCGGGGUGACAGCUGCGGCCAAAGGCGCAAGCCGCCCGCCGAGGGGCCUGCGUCCGAUUAGCUGGUUGGCGGGGUAGCGGCCCACCAAGGCGUCGAUCGGAAGCUGGUCUGCGAGGGUGAUCAGCCACACCGGGACUGAGACACGGCCCGGACUCCUACGGGAGGCAGCAGUGGGGAAUAUUGGACAAUGGGCGCAAGCCUGAUCCAGCAAUGCCGCGUGGGUGAAGAAGGUCUUCGGAUUGUAAAGCCCUUUCGGCGGGGACGAUGGUGACGGUACCCGCAGAAGAAGCCCCGGCUAACUUCGUG